rnacentral:rRNA from 1 species
AGUGAACGCUGGCGGUAGGCCUAACACAUGCAAGUCGAACGGCAGCACAGUAAGAGCUUGCUCUUACGGGUGGCGAGUGGCGGACGGGUGAGGAAUACAUCGGAAUCUACUUUUUCGGGGGGGAUAACGUAGGGAAACUUACACUAAUACCGCAUACGACCUACGGGUGAAAGCAGGGGAUCUUCGGACCUUGCGCGAUUGAAUGAGCCGAUGUCGGAUUAGCUAGUUGGCGGGGUAAAGGCCCACCAAGGCGACGAUCCGUAGCUGGUCUGAGAGGAUGAUCAGCCACACUGGAACUGAGACACGGUCCAGACUCCUACGGGAGGCAGCAGUGGGGAAUAUUGGACAAUGGGCGCAAGCCUGAUCCAGCCAUACCGCGUGGGUGAAGAAGGCCUUCGGGUUGUAAAGCCCUUUUGUUGGGAAAGAAAAGCAGCAGGUUAAUACCCCGCUGUUCUGACGGUACCCAAAGAAUAAGCACCGGCUAACUUCGUG